rnacentral:tRNA from 1 species
GUCCAUGGUAGCCUAGUGGACAUGGCAUCGGCCCGGUAAGCGGAACACUGUGGGUCCGAUUUCCAUCCCUGGACA